rnacentral:rRNA from 1 species
GACAGAGGGUGCAAACGUUGUUCGGAAUUACUGGGCAUAAAGAGCACGUAGGUGGUUCGCUAAGUCACGUGUGAAAUCCCCCGGCUUAACCGGGGAAUUGCGCGUGAUACUGGCGAACUCGAGGCGGGUAGGGGUGAGCGGAACUCCAGGUGGAGCGGUGAAAUGCGUAGAUAUAGGAAGGAACACCAGUGGCGAAGGCGACCACCUGGACUGAUACUGACACUGAGGUGCGAAAGCGUGGGGAGCAAACAGG